GGUGUGGUGGGGGGCGCAGUUGGCUAGCGUGUAGGUCUCAUAGCUAAACGUGAGAGAUCCUGAGGUCGAGAGUUCGAGCCUCUCUCACCCCA